ACCCCAAGCCCAAUGUCAGGGAGUUUCACAGGAUUCAGAGGAAAGAAGAAAAUGUCACUGUCAUGCUUUGAAGUAUUUUCUGCAUCAAGUCUUACUGUGUAUGGGAAUUGUCUUUCCUCAAGUUCCCAGAUAGCUACUUCCUGGGAGAACAGAGGCCACAGUCUACCUUUGCAGAUCCCAGCCCUUCCCCCAGGCCAGUAAGGAUCUUACAAAAGCCUCUUGUGAACCGACAGGGACACCUCAGAGCCCUAAUGGGAGAAGAAGGGCAAGUGUGGGCAAGGCCCCUGGCUCUCCUGCCUGCAGCCAUUUCUCAAGCAACCUGGUUCUCAGGGAGACUUCAAGAACCAGUUUCUGGUCUUUGCUUGAAAAGGAAACCAGUCAUUCAAGGGUAAAUCAUAAGUACUAAAUGAAAAGCUCUGUGACUGUACACUAAAGACUUCAUCACAAGAGGAGAAAUCUCUUGUCUACACACUUGUGUCAGCCUAGGAGUCCGGGACAGAAGGCAUGUAGGACUGGCCAGACUUGAAAGUGACAUGCUGAAUGCAAGGCAAGGACAGAAGGAGCUGAUUCCUUCACAGUCCCCCGGAACCACGUGGUGGCCAGGUUGACAGUACCAGAGAAGAGCACCUUCCCACUUGGGUGACUUGUCAGACCUGAAGAGCAACUGAAAGUCACAGUGGAAUUCAGACUCAUCACUGAUGACCAGGACAAGAAACCAAGAUCAAGGUGCAGCUGAGUAUAGGAGAAUCAUCAGGGACCAAACACCAGCAUGAGAACUCAUUCGAGUUUUGAAACAGAUUCUCACUGCUCUGGCCCUGAAUGCCUGGCUGCAGAGGUCUUCCUGCUUUGCCCUUUCAAGUAGCUAGGGUUAUACAUAUAAGCUUGAAGCAGAAACAACAUUGAGAGUCCUGCUUACUGGCUUGCUCAGCUACCUUUCUUACCCAGCUUGGGUCUACAGGCCUAAGGAUGGUACUGCAAUCCUAAGGAUGGCUGGUCCUUCCUACAUCAAUUACCAACUGAGAAAAUGCCUCAGAGAUGUGGCAACAGGCUAAUCUGAUUUGGGCAGGUCUACUUCAGUCGAGGUUAUUUUCCUGGAUGAUUCUAGGUCAUAUCUAGUGGUCUUCUGAUGCUAAGUAGGACGGCAGGACCAGAGGCAACUUUUACAUUUGGCUCAGUCCAUUCUCUGCCCCAGAAAGUGUACAUUAUUCUGCUUAUCUACAGCUAAAACUAAACUUUGCUUGCCUGUUACAUCUAUGCCCUGCUGGGAAUUCCUCUCCUCUGGGUUCACAAGAAGAGAAUGUGGGAAUGGAAUGUGGGAGGAGAUAUCUCUCCCCAUGAUCAUGUGGAAUGGCAUGUCAGCCUCUGAUCAAGCUCUCCCUUGAUGUCCUCCUGACUUCAGCUGAAGGGUCUUCUUGCUGUUCUCAUCUGAAGUGUCCUCUCCCCUCUCCCUCCAUAACUGUGCUUAGUCACCACUAAAUGCCUGUCUGGGAAAUGCCUGUCUUUCUCUAGGUCAGUAAUGACUGUCUUAGUCGGGGUUUCUAUUUCUGAACAAACAUCAUGACCAAGAAGCAAGUUGGGGAAGAAAGGG